AUGACUUGUAUCACCAUCUUCAUCUGGAUAUUUGCCCUCUGUCUCCAAGAGUCCAGAGGCCAGGUCACAGUGACCCAGACUCCUGCAGUGAAAGCUGUUUCAGUGGGUCACUCAGUCAGUCUCAGCUGUAAGACCAGCAGUGCUGUACCCAGUAACAGCAAUGGACACUAUUUGCACUGGUAUCAACAGAAACCUGGAGGAGCUCCUAAACUCCAUAUUUACUAUGCUAAAACCCUUCCGUCUGGGACUCCAUCUAGAUUCAGUGGCAGUGGAUCAGGGAGUGACUUCACUCUGACCAUCAGUGGAGUCCAGGCUGAAGAUGCAGGAGAUUACUAUUGUCAGAGUUACCACUACAUCAAUGGUAAAAAUGUGUUCACACAGUGA